AUGGUUGACUCGUGGGCGUUGUGCAUUCUUGGGAGUUGUAGAAGGCUGAGUGAAAUGAGCAUGAACAUGGCAUGUUUGGGAGGUUGGCACAGUGAUGAUGAAUGCUCGCAGACUGUGAUAAAGACGCGCGAGGAGGUGAAGAUGGUUAAAGCAGUAGAUCAAGAUCAAUAG